CUCUUACAUAUUCUGAACUUACAGCAGUGCACUUAACAUCUCAUUCCAGAUAUCAGGUACCCCAGGAAGGCACCAAUGGCUACAGUCAGAAGAAAAGCCGCUGGGGUGUUGUCUCGCUUGUUGGCUUAUUGCCCUUCUAUAGACAGAAGGGUGCCCGUCUCUACGUAGAGCUGACAUAGCUGUGAUAUCUUGCAAAUACACAGGGAAACUCAUUUUUCUCAACACCUCUUUCAGUACUACGAAGGAUUCAGGGACAUGCUGGUGACUGGAAAAUGCUAAAGGCUGCCUUUGGUUAUAGCAUUUCCAACCAUUUUCCCUAAAAAAAAUAAUUGGCAAUUCAAAUGGCAUUAU
rnacentral:lncRNA from 1 species